AGGGCUGGGGCUCAGUGGUAGAGUGCUCACCUAGCACAUGAGAGGCCCUGGGUUCGAUCCUCAGCACCACAU
rnacentral:tRNA from 1 species